CGAUGAACCACAUUCGGUGGGGAUUAGUGGCGAACGGGUGAGUAACACGUGGGCAAUCUGCCCUUCACUCUGGGACAAGCCCUGGAAACGGGGUCUAAUACCGGAUACUGACCGGCCUGGGCAUCCAGGCGGGUCGAAAGCUCCGGCGGUGAAGGAUGAGCCCGCGGCCUAUCAGCUUGUUGGUGAGGUAAUGGCUCACCAAGGCGACGACGGGUAGCCGGCCUGAGAGGGCGACCGGCCACACUGGGACUGAGACACGGCCCAGACUCCUACGGGAGGCAGCAGUGGGGAAUAUUGCACAAUGGGCGAAAGCCUGAUGCAGCGACGCCGCGUGAGGGAUGACGGCCUUCGGGUUGUAAACCUCUUUCAGCAGGGAAGAAGCGAAAGUGACGGUACCUGCAGAAGAAGCGCCGGCUAACUACGUGCCAGCAGCCGCGGUAAUACGUAGGGCGCAAGCGUUGUCCGGAAUUAUUGGGCGUAAAGAGCUCGUAGGCGGCUUGUCACGUCGGUUGUGAAAGCCCGGGGCUUAACCCCGGGUCUGCAGUCGAUACGGGCAGGCUAGAGUUCGGUAGGGGAGAUCGGAAUUCCUGGUGUAGCGGUGAAAUGCGCAGAUAUCAGGAGGAACACCGGUGGCGAAG
rnacentral:rRNA from 1 species